GUGUCAGCAGCCGCGGUAAAACCAGCACCUCAAGUGGUCAGGAUGAUUAUUGGGCCUAAAGCAUCCGUAGCCGGCGCUAUAAGUUUUCGGUUAAAUCUGUACGCUCAACGUACAGGCUGCCGGGAAUACUGUAGCGCUAGGGAGUGGGAGAGGUAGACGGUACUCGGUAGGAAGGGGUAAAAUCCUUUGAUCUAUUGAUGACCACCUGUGGCGAAGGCGGUCUACCAGAACACGUCCGACGGUGAGGGAUGAAAGCUGGGGGAGCAAACCGGAUUAGAUACCCGGGUAGUCCCAGCUGUAAACUAUGCAAACUCAGUGAUGCAUUGGCUUGUGGCCAAUGCAGUGCUGCAGGGAAGCCGUUAAGUUUGCCGCCUGGGAAGUACGUACGCAAGUAUGAAACUCAAAUGAAUUGACGGGG
rnacentral:rRNA from 1 species